UUUGUUCCGGUUGUGUGUGUGUUGUUUGGGUAACUUUACUUUUGUCCCUCCGGAGGCACCCUUCCUCCCUGCUGCGUCGAGGAGUGAUUGGACUCACCUGUUUCUGCUUUGCCAAUCAAGCCGCCUACUUUAAGCCUGCUGAGACACUCCUCGGCGCCAGAGUAUACAGAGAACCUCCGUGUGCCUCCCGUGCCCUCACAGCCCAGCGCUCUCUGGACGUCUUUUGUGUUUUUUGAAGGACUCUUGCAAUUUUGAUUUUUUGUGGAUUCACCCGCCCUUUGUUAAAUAAAUCAUUGUUAUAACCGGCUCCGUUUCCGCUCCUGGGUUCCCUUUCUGCACCUCACGUCACAGAAGAAGCAAAACAAAAAGGAGUUCUUACCAGCUGUAACAGUCCCGUCCAUCCUUUCUGGUAAGCUUCAUUCUCUGGUGACAUAGGCGGCAUUUAGCUUUUUCAAUUAUUAUUAUUUUUUUCUGAAGGUAUUUAAUCAGCUUAAAUGUUUUUCUGACCGAAGUUCCCUCAAAAAUAAGUUUACUUACUUUUUUUAGCAAGGCUAUCUUGGGAAAGUCAUUUCCCUUUGUUUUUUAAUUUGAUUUACAGCGGGAAAUUGACUCAUAAGAGCGCUUUUUUUUCUUCUUCCUCCUUUGAAUUUCCGUUUGUUGGCCCAUAGACAAUAAGCUCAUCGUAGUAAGACACUGUAUGCUUUACGAAGUAUCAGAUUCUCCUGUAUCAUCUUUAAUUUUGAAGGCGAGGGGGAGGGGGCAGAAGUUCCGCUUAGAGACGCGGUGUUGUGGCGAAGAAGAAAAUGAAGAAGCUGCUGUGUUCAGGAAACAUGCUGCAACCUGUUGGAUGGAACGAGAGGUGUCUCCCAUGGAGGACACCGGUAAUUCCGAACCUCCACCCGCUAUUCGUGUUCAGACACGACGUGGGGAAAAAAGUAGUGAUGGUGAAAUCGAAGCUUCAUGAAGCAGUGAACCACUUUGACACAAGUGCUUCAAGAAUGACACACUGCUUCGAAGCAUUUCAUACAGUCAGAAGAGUGACAUCUGCUGGCUGUGAACUGCAUCCAAGUGGAAGACCUGGAAAAGCCUGUAAGGAGGCCACGCUCUCUGUAGUCACGUGAUUGUGGGCGUGCCGAAGCAGGGAUCGAAACGUCUCGGAACACUUGCGCUUCAAAAGAUCGACACUGUGUCGAGCAAACUGGCUCGAGCGUAACAUCACUAGAAAAAAGCGGGUGAAAAGAGAGAGAAUACUGAGGUGGAAGAUGACUCUUUGGGUGAGUAAGAAAUACAAUGCUAUAGAAACGUUAGCUGGCAGAAGCAAGUUAGCUAACUUAAGCUAGAUACCAUAAAUCCUCUAAAAGUGGCCGGGGGCGUUUAUUUACUCUACUGCAGAGACUACGUUUAUUAGAGGUAAGGUGUUUAUUAGAGUUUAUUAUGUAUAGUAAAAAUUUACUAGUAUCAUGUAAUAAAUUGUAUAUGUACUAAUGGGUCAGAAUGAAUGCCUCUUUUGGCAUUGCUAUAUUUUCAUUUGGCACACAACACAACACAAAUAACCUGAAAAGGCAAAAAGACAACAAAGACACACAAAAUUAUCAUAAAAAUACAAAAUGGCUAUAAAGAGAUGGCAAGCUACCAAAAAAGACAAUAAAGUAAGAGGAGGAGGAGGAGGAGGAGGCAGCCCUACUCAUCAGUCAUUCUAAAUCAAACAUCAUAGUUGACAUACUGUUCAGCCCUAGUUAACUAACAUAAACAGUCACAUGUCCCAUUAACUACACAGAGAUACAAUUGACUAAAAGUUAACAGCUACACAAGUGAAGAGCCCCAGACAAAUUUCCCACUUGUAGGACAAUUAAGUUACUAUUAAAUCUUUAGUGUAUAAGAGUGUUCGUGUAAUUUGAUGCGUUUGUUUUGUUACUAACCCUCCUAGGUCCUAUUAAGACAAAAUCCAAGUUGAUAAUAAUAAUCCUCCAUUUUUAUCUCCUGUUCCAACUGCAGGUGUCCCUCAAGUGGCUUCCACUGCCAAACUAAUGUUUCAAAAUCUAAAACAUGAACUGGAACUGGCUAAGCAAAACAUUUCUUCUCAGGAAGAGAUGAUUGUGGAGCUAACCAGGGACAGAGAUUUUUUGCCAGAGAAACUGUCACAGUCAUCAGAAACCACCAGGACAACAAAUGAUUCACAUUCCCCUGACUCCAGGUCAGCUUCCCAGUCAUCUGUGUCCUCUGAGGCAAGUUCCUCGUCCUCUACCAACUACUCCUCUGACUCAUCAACCUCCUCACCCUCCACAUGUUCUGAUGAUGAUAAGAAGUGAAAAAGGAAGAGAAAGAUCUCAAGUAAGAAGAAGAAGAAGAAGGGGAAUAAACAGUCAACGGGGAAACAAAGGAAGGGAAACACACACCGCUGUGUGUCAAGAGACAGAGCAUGCGCUGGUUGGCCACAUGAGAUGACGAUUCUACUCUGCUUCAUUGUCCUUUGUAAUGAAUGCAGAUGUGGAAUAAACCUGCUGUUACCACAAGCCUGACCAGCUCCCGAAGAGUCAUUUUAGACAGAAGACAUCUCACAAGGGUCACACAUACAGAGAGCACCUGUUUAACUGCAUGAUCACUAAAUGUUGUGGGCUGAUGCUUUACUGACCACUUAAAUUGCAUCCUCAUACUUAUUGCCAGGAAGUCCAUCCUGUUUUGUCUCCAAGGCAGAAUGGUACCACGAUGAUAGCCUGACGGUUUCACCUUUACACAUCCUUACACCAUCAGUACACAUUAAUAUGUAAUGGGCACACUAAAGAUUCCAUCUGACACACACAGCCAUUAUAACUCGCUGGCGGGUUCAACUACAGAUGAUUACCAGUAAUGACUACCAUGAGCUGUCAGCUCAUCUUCCUUAAAGCUGCAUCAGGCCAGGGUUUCAUGUAAAAAUAAGCCAGGCUUAUCAGCUUAAAUCACAGGCUGCUGCAGAGGAGUGUGACCUCAUCCCACACUGUUUCAAGAGGUAUAGACUUUAAGUAUAAUUCAUAUCUCAGUAUCUUCACUGAUUAGUUACCUUGGCAAUUUGAGUAUGUGUACCAAAUUUUGUGGCAAUCCGUUCAACAGUUGUCAAGAAAUUUCACUAGCAAUCAAAAAUGUAAAUAUACCGGUUGCACUAGAGGAAAUGUCAGAGGAUCACCAGGGCCAGUAAUUCAUCCUCUGGGGACCCUGAAUGUACAGUAUGUAUACAUAGCAAUCCAUCCAAAAGUUGUUCAGAUAUUUCAGUCUGGACACAGUGGUGGACCAACAGACUGACACUGCCACCAUUAGAGCCACACUUAGCAUGGUUAGUAAUCAUUAUAUGUUAGUAAUGUCCAACAAUUUCAUAAUUGUUAGGUGUAAUUAUCAAAAUACCCGUCUCUGCAGGUGAUUAAUGUGGUUUUAGAAUUAUAGUUCUAUCACUAUAAAUGUUAAAGAAAAAAUAAAUACAGUCAGAAGCCACUGAGUCGCCUCUACCAUUACUGUUCUGUGCAGGUAAGUGUCAAUAAACAGCUACUGUAUUUAAACAAUUCAAUUUAAUUUAAUUUGUCACAGGGAAUUAUACAUGGCACAACUCCAGUAAAAUGUGAUCCCAUUGGCUCCUUUAACUUGUGCACUGUAAUUUAAUCGUUUUCUCAUCUUCUUACAUUGUUGGCUGCUGCUUUAGGUCUCGUUUAUACAACAAUGAUUUCAACUGAAAACGGUAAACUUUAGUUGUGUUUUGUCCGAUCGUUUACACGACAGCGGUGUUUUGGGGGCCUGAAAACGCAACGUUUUGAAAACGGGUUCCAGAGUGCAAUUUUUUUGAAACGGCACCAUCUCCAUUGUCAUGUAAACUUGCAGUAUGCAGUUCCUCUGAAAACGGAGACUUUUCGCACAUGCGCAUUACGCUUCCAGUCUCUAGGCAUGCGCGAGAAAGUCGACCAUCACAACAACAAUGGCGGACUCCAGAGCUCUGCUUGUGCUGCUCACCCUAUUCAAUUUAUCAACGCUUCCCCAUCAUAGUGUAGAUUUACUGUAGCAACUCCACCUCAUAACUACUGGCAUGUAUACUGCAGCAUUUUUGGUCAUUUUUGCGGAUCCGUGUGCAUGACGAUUGUUAUCAAAAUAUUGUUGUCUAAACACGGAACCUUUUUCAAAACGAAAAUGAGAAACGUUUCUGUUUUCAGUGGAUCGUUUUUGUGUAAACAUGGCCUUAUAAAGGGGUUUUUUUGGGGAGUUUUUCCUUAUCCGCUGCGAGGGUCAUAAGGACAGAGGGAUGUCGUAUGCUGUAAAGCCCUGUGAGGCAAAUUGUGAUUUGUGAUAUUGGGCUUUAUAAAUUUGAUUGAUUGAUUGAUUAUAAUUGUCCAUGUUUCACAUGUCCAGUUUACCUUUAGUUAACACUCACAUAUUACACAUGAUCAAUAUAUCUUUAUUAACAGGCUAUGUACCACAGUCCUUUAAGGUAGCUGUAAUUAAACCUCUUCUAAAAAAGCCCAUCCUGGAUCCAGAGGUGUUAGCCAACUAUAGACCCAUUUCUAAUCUUCCCUUUCUUUCAAAGGUCCUUGAGAAAGUAGUCGCAGACCAGCUGUGUGACUUUCUCCAUGAUAAUAACGUAUUUGAGGAAUAUCAGUCAGGAUUUAGAGUGCAUCAUAGCACUGAGACAGCACUAGUUAAAAUUACAAAUGAUCUUCUGAUUGUUUCAGACAAAGGACUUGUCUCUAUACUUGUUUUAUUAGAUCUUAGUGCCGCAUUUGACACAAUUGACCAUCAAAUUCUGCUACGGAGACUGGAACAUUUAAUUGGCCUAAAAGGUUCUGCACUAAGCUGGUUUGAAUCUUAUUUAUCUGAUCGUUUUCAGUUCGGCCAUGUUCAUGAUGAAUCAUCUCUACGUACUAAAGUUUGUUUUGGAGUUCCACAAGGUUCUGUGCUCGGACCAAUUCUGUUCACUUUAUAUAUGCUUCUCUUAGGUAACAUCAUUAGAAAUCACUCUGUAAAUUUCCAUUGCUAUGCGGAUGAUACACAAUUGUAUUUAUCAAUAAAGCCAGGAGCAACGGAUCAAUUAACUAAACUUCAAAAAUGCCUUAAAGACAUAAAAACCUGGAUGAGCUCCAAUUUCCUUAUGUAAAAUUCAGACAAAAGUGAAGUUAUUGUUCUUGGCCCCAAACACCUCAGAGACUCUUUAUCUGAUGACAUAGUUUCUCUAGAUGGCAUUGCUCUGGCCUCUAGCACUACCUUAAGAAACCUCAGAAUAAUAUUUGACCAAGAUUUGUCUUUUAAAUCCCAUUUAAAACAAACUUCAUGGACUGCGUUUUUUCAUCUGCAUAAUAUUGUGAAAAUUAGGCCUAUCCUGUCGAAAAAAGAUGCAGAAAAAAUGGUCCACGCUUUUGUUACCUCUGGGCUGGAUUACUGUUAUUCUCUAUUAUCAGGUAGCUCUAAUAAGUCUUUAAAAACUCUCCAGAAUGCAGCAGCACGUGUACUAACAGGAACUAAGAAAUGAGAUCAUAUUUCUCCUGUUUUAGCUUCUCUGCACUGGCUCCCUGUAAAAUCUAGAAUUGAAUUUAGACUCCUACUCCUAACUUACAAAGCUUUAAAUGGUCAGGCUCCGUCAUAUCUUAGAGAGCUCAUAGUACCAUAUGUCAUCCCUAUGUUUCCAGGGAACAUAGAUACGCUCCCCCAUAUUAUCACAUUAGAGCAAAGCUCUCUGAGAAUGCAGUGUUACUCAUGGUCCAUAAAGUCUCCAAAAGUAGAUCAGGAGCCAGAGCCCUUAGCUAUCAGGCUCCUCUCCUGUGGAAUCAUCUUCCUGUUUUGGUCCGGGAGGCAGACACCGUCUCCACAUUUAGGACUAGACUAGACUUAAGACUUUCCUUAUUGAUAAAGCUUAUAGUUAGGGCUGGCCUCCUACUGCUGCUGUUAUCAUUAGUCAUACUUCUACUGUCAUUAUAUACAUAUUUAUUUUUUGUUAUUUAUGUAUCUUUGUUAUCUUCAGUAUGUGUGUGUAUGUGUAUCUAUGUAUAUAUGUUUAUAUAUAUUUAUUGUAUUCUGUGUUAUCUUCAGUAUGUGUGUGUAUGUUAUAUAUUUAUAAUAAUAUAAAGAAUAAUAUAAUAUUUUAUUAGGAAAAAUAUUUUCGUAAUAGAUUUAUGUCUUGUUAGAUAUAGAACUAAGGUAAUUGAAAAAUGACAAAUAGAAUUUAUUAUUAUUGCUAUUAUUAUACUGAUAGGAGGAAUAUAUUAUUAUAAAUAUUUAAGUGUUAUUAAUUUAUUAAAAAGGGGUGGGAUAAAAUAAGUUUAUACUUCCUCCCACUCUUUUUCGGAUAUGUAAACAGGAUUUAUAGUUUUCAGUUUAUGUUUACCUUGUUAUUUUUUAAUUUUUAUUAUUAUUUUUCUUUAUGUCUGUCCAUUAGUGUAUGAUAAUUUUGUUGUUUACUUGUUCGAAAUAAACUAUCUAUCUAUAUGAAUAUUGUCCCAUCCAUCCAUUUUCAUCCGCUUAUCCGGGGCCGGGACGUGGGGGGCAGCAGGCCAAGCAAAGCACCCCAGACUCUCCCCGGCAACACUUUCCAGCUCCUCCUGGGGGACCCCAAGGUGUUCCCAGGCCAGACAAGAUAUGUAAUCCCUCCAGCGUUUUCUUGGUCUGCCCUGGGGCCUCCUACCAGUGGGACGUGCCUGGAACACCUCCAGUGGGAGGCGCCCAGGAAAUUGAUUAACUGAUUGAUUGAUAGUUGCCUCUCCCCAACACAGCAGUAAGCCACAGCAGAAACAGGACAGCAUCUCACAUUCUCACUGUCACACCAGUCUUUAUUCACCAUAAAGCACACACAUCCUCUCCUUUUCUCCCAGAGUCUUAUGCUCUGUCAGAUUGGCGUGUAGAAAAAGAGUCCCCUGGUUGAAUUGCGCUGUCCAGUAUUUAGCCAAGUUUGGGUGAAUCAAAGGAUAUUACAGUUACUGAUAUCCUGCUGGAAACUGAUGUGGCACAGACGUCGUCCAUUUUAUUUCCCAACACCUGUACAAUGGCUAGCAGGAUUCUAGUUCAGCUGGUGCCCAUUCCACUCCAUCUUACUCUGAUGUUUACAUGUAAAAACCUCGACCUGGCUAUCAAACAGUUAGCUAGCAGAAGUCAGCACAAGGAGAGUUUACAACACAUUCUCACGCCAAGUUUCCAUGAUGUCAGUGGACUUUCAUAUCUACAUAUUAUUCUCUAGGUAUCCUCCUGUGUCUACUGUUGACGUUAAUGCUGCAACCAAUGCCAGGAUUUCAACAAAAGCAUGCGGUUAGGUUUAUCAAAAAACAUUAUGCUUUUGUUUGACUGGCGGCGUAUCAUAACACCAUGAAAGAUUCUGUCCAGCUGCGUUACGAACUGACGCCAUCCGGCAGCAUAUCAUAUCACCCAAGGUGGCUUUUGGCGUUGGUGUCUGAUGCUGAAAUUACUGAUGAAGUGGUGGUAUUUGACAACUUUGAAAUGAGAACAGGCUGGAGUUGAAUGACUCAACUAUAUACGCCACCACUGUCCAAAGCCAAACACAUAUAGCACUACCAUCACUUGCAAAAUAGACAUAUGAGCCUAAAUGUAUCACAAAUUUAGCAGAGCUGAAAGAGAGGGGACUGGAAGUGUUUGCGCCUACAUUAUAAUACAUAUAUUCAAUCAAAGACAGAAAAGAAAAAAUAUGACACAUUCAUUUUGAUUGAACAUGCCCCUCUAUUGAAUAUUUAGCAGUAUUUUCAGUCCACUUUUGUAUCUGGAUUGUGAGAAGGGAAAGAAAAGGCGGGCUACUUCUCAUCUAGUAGCUGUUGGAAGAAUAUGUAAUGUAUAGAUACCUAUGCCACAUGACUUACUAUGCACAGACUAAAUGUUGUGCAGUUUUAUCUUGUAGUCUUUCCCGGGUCAGUAGGUCAAUCUAUUGGAUUCCACAUGUACAUUACAGCAUUAAUCCAUUCAAGAACACCCAUCUAUCGGCACCCUCCCUCCCUAGCCCAACCCCUCACCCAUCAGUAUUAGUGUCAUGUCUUUUUUUUCUUGUAAUCUGCACAUAUGUCUGCGUAAUCAAUAAUGUCUGAUAAUUAUAGUAAACUCUACGUUCUCUGUUAUACAGUUAUUAGCCAUAAAUCUACAGUCCUAAUACUAAACUUAAUUAUACAACAGUUAGUUCCGACCGAGUAAUUUGAUUGGAGGAGAGGCAUUCCAUGAGUGCUGAUAUAGAGCACUCGGACAUGUAACAGUAAAAUCACUCCGCUCGCAGGUGUUGUAAAUACAAAUACAGCCGUUAAUUAACCAACUGUCACACUCGCUACAUUGACGCGACCCGGCCUCGGAUAAGCGGAUGAAAAUGGAUGGAUGGAUAGAUGGAUGGAUGAAAGAAAGAAAGGGAGAGAGUGAGGCAUAACACGCAGGUGUCUGCCAUUAUGUAUCAAUAAAAGUUAUUAUUGCACCAUAAAAUAUGAUUUCUAAUAACUCCACCGUGUAUUACAAUGCUCAUCAACCCAGUCUCACUCCAAAGUUGUCAGGGGGAAACACAACAGCUAAAGUUAAGGCGGUGGAAGUUCAAGUAGGGCGGUUGGGAGGGGUGGUGGAUGGGUCCUACAACCACCAACUUCAACCCAGAAGGCCAGUGUUCAUUUACCGUAAAAUUGUAAAGCCAAACUCUCUUCUUUUUUUCCGAAACCCAACCUAGUGCUUCUGUUGCCUAAACCCAACUACCUGCAUGUGUAGGUUAAAUGUAACCACGUGUGUUUGUUGUUGAAGGAAAGAAACGUCAUUUCACUGUAUUGUACCGAUGUGGUGCAUUUAUUUUGAAAGAGACUGUGCAAACUGUACAUUUCCUGUGAAAAUAGAAGUGUAAUUUGAAAACAGACAAUGCAUUUAACAUGCUGCAGCCAAAGGUGAGAUGCACAGAAAAGUAUUAAGUUCCCUUCCAGCAAAGCCUAAAAAAAACCCGCCAGAAGUCUGGAUGAAUUGGCAAGACUUUGAAUGUGCUUGUGAUGUCUGAUUUAGACAGUCAGGUGCCAUGGCCUGCCAAACAGAUGAGGGUAAUGGCAUAGUCCAUUGUUGCCUAUUGCAUGAAGAAAUCUGGAUUGGGGAUGAUGCUGUUGAUGCUUGGAAUGUGUGAGCCGUGUGGGGAAGAAAGGUCUGUUAUUAGUCUCUUUUUCCUGGAGUAUUUUCGGAUAGCAACGCCUAUUGGGCUGAUGCAAAACACUAGGAAAGGAGGACUGAUGAAUGGGCCUAUCAUGAAUCCAUCUUUGACUUCAUUGGCUAAUAAGGUAUCUACAGUGUGAGGUUCUGAGAGGGCAAACUGCAGGUUGUGGCAGACAUGGGAAGUGCUGGGAAGUAGUUCCAGACCUGGAUGGAAACUGUAUGUGAAGCCAUUGAUGAGAAAGAUAACAAAGUGUUUUUCUGGGUGGUGUCAUAGAGCAAUGGCAAGGACAUUUAGCUUAACAGGUGUGCCAAGAAGCUGUGCUAGGCAUGAGCAUGAGUACCUCCACAGAAGGAGCAGAUGUGCAGAAGGCAGUAGUUAGAAAGAGAAAACCCCAGGUGGUUGAAGUUAUUGCACACCAUCCUGCCUCUCUGGUAGAGGAUUGGCCUACCCGUUUGUCGACUCCCUUUGGCAUGAAAACAUUAAUUGCAGGACGUAUUUCUGCGGGCUUAGCGAUGAUAGGAGGUAGGGGUGCAUAGGGUGAUAGACGGUUAAAAACUGAGGCAUUGAAGGCAGGCAACGGUCCAUUCUAUGAUGUAGGGCUCCGCUUGUGGAUGUGGAGACGGCCACAUUGAAGAGGAGGGCAUGCAGCGAGUACGCCAUGGUGGAUAGCCGGGAGCUGUAUGAGAGAAAGGCUGCCAACUAUUGCUGGAGCUGCUGCCAGCUCUGUCAUCUGUGUCAUUUGCUAUGUUUUGCCCUUGUGGAAGGAAGAGAGGCAAGGCCCUGCUCCCGAACCUAGGUUAAGAAAUUAACUUCAUAAAAAGAAUGGACAGAGUUUACCUGACUCAAAAUGAAAGAUUGGUGUGUGAGGCUUUCCUUGUUUGUGUGACAGGCUGCAGGCUCCAAGAGUAAAAACUGCAGAGUAUAAAUGUAGCUCUACAAAUACAGGAGUAGUGGUUGCUAGCACUGUCUUCAUCCUUGGUGUCUUGGUGUCUUGGUGUGGCAUGUUGGGGGGCAAACAUCAGCACGAGAGACGUGGACAGACUGAACAGGCUGAUCAAAAAAGCGCGCUCUGUGGUAGGAGCCAGCCUAGACAGUCUGGAGACAGUGGCUGAGUCAAGGAUGAGGAGGAGGCUGAGCACCAUUCUGGACAACACCGACCACCCUCUACAC